rnacentral:sRNA from 1 species
AUCUAGCCCUGAUUGCAGCGGUAUCCUUUUGCUUCACUUUGUUCAGCAAAAGAUAUAGCGAAAAGCAGGUUCCCGG